UACGGAGGGAGCUAGCGUUGUUCGGAAUUACUGGGCGUAAAGCGCGCGUAGGCGGCCUUGCAAGUUAGAGGUGAAAGCCCGGAGCUCAACUCCGGAACUGCCUUUAAAACUGCAUAGCUUGAAUCCGGGAGAGGUGAGUGGAAUUCCGAGUGUAGAGGUGAAAUUCGUAGAUAUUCGGAAGAACACCAGUGGCGAAGGCGGCUCACUGACCGGUAUUGACGCUGAGGUGCGAAAGCGUGGGGAGCAAACAGG
rnacentral:rRNA from 1 species